GAUGAACGCUGGCGGCGUGCCUAAUACAUGCAAGUCGAGCGAACGGACGAGAAGCUUGCUUCUCUGAUGUUAGCGGCGGACGGGUGAGUAACACGUGGAUAACCUACCUAUAAGACUGGGAUAACUUCGGGAAACCGGAGCUAAUACCGGAUAAUAUUUUGAACCGCAUGGUUCAAAAGUGAAAGACGGUCUUGCUGUCACUUAUAGAUUGAUCCGCGCUGCAUUAGCUAGUUGGUAAGGUAACGGCUUACCAAGGCAACGAUGCAUAGCCGACCUGAGAGGGUGAUCGGCGACACUGGAACUGAGACACGGUCCAGACUCCUACGGGAGGCAGCAGUAGGGAAGCUUCCGCAAUGGGCGAAAGCCUGACGGAGCAACGCCGCGUGAGUGAUGAAGGUCUUCGGAUCGUAAAACUCUGUUAUUAGGGAAGAACAUAUGUGUAAGUAACUGUGCACAGCUUGACGGUACCUAAUCAGAAAGCCACGGCUAACUACGUG
rnacentral:rRNA from 1 species